rnacentral:rRNA from 1 species
ACUCAAAGGAAUAGACGGGGACCCGCACAAGCAGCGGAGCAUGUGGUUUAAUUCGAAGCAACGCGAAGAACCUUACCAGGGCUUGACAUGCCCCUGACCGGUCUAGAGAUAGGCCUUUACCUUCGGGUACAGGGGACACAGGUGGUGCAUGGUUGUCGUCAGCUCGUGUCGUGAGAUGUUGGGUUAAGUCCCGCAACGAGCGCAACCCUUGCCUUUAGUUGCUAACAGUUAGGCUGAGCACUUUAGAGGGACUGCCGAUGAUAAAUCGGAGGAAGGUGGGGAUGACGUCAAAUCAUCAUGCCCUUUAUGUCCUGGGCUACACACGUGCUACAAUGGUCGGUACAACGAGCAGCUACCUAGCGAUAGGAUGCAAAUCUCUUAAAGCCGAUCCCAGUUCGGAUUGCAGGCUGCAACUCGCCUGCAUGAAGUCGGAGUUGCUAGUAAUCGUGGAUCAGAAUGCCGCGGUGAAUGCGUUCCCGGGUCUUGCACACACCGCCCGU